UGGAGGAGGAGCAGGAGGUGAAGCUGAAAGCUCUGUCCAGAGAAGUCCGGACCCUGAGGGAGAGAGAGGAGGAGAAGGAGUGGAGGUCCAGGGUGGAGGAGGCGGAGGAGACGGAUGGACUGAGGAGGAGAGACAGAGAGACGGACAAGGAGGAGAAAGGAGGAGGAGAGGUGAGCUGGUUUCUACCAACGUUAUGCUUUAAAGCUCUUCAUACAAACUGCAGAAAAGUGAUUCAAUAGUUAACUGUCUUCCUGAGGAGGAGCAGAACUCCUCUCUGCUGCAGGAGAAGGAGGAGCAGAACUCCUCUCUGAUGAAGGAGGAGCAGAACUCCUCUCUGAUGCAGGAGAAGGAGGAGCAGAACUCCUCUCUGCUGCAGGAGGAGGAGGAGAUCAGGAGGCAGCUGAGGCAAAGAGAAGCCGAGGUAAAGAGUUUAAUAAUUGUUUUAACUUCUCAAAAUAAUUGAUUCACAAUCAUAAUAUUAAAUUUUUAAGGCAAAGCAGUUCUUUAAUUCUGCAGCUUUAUAAAAAUGUUUAUUGGUUAUCGUUAUUUUUCCCCGUUUGGAGCGUUGAUGCGUUCAAGCACCAUCGGAAAUUAGAACAUCUGACAAUAAAUUCUGUUUUUACAGGUUCUGGCUGUGAUAAAUGUCAUUUUGGAGAAUAAAAACAAAGAUAACGAUGCAGAGGUGUUGUGUUCAGAGGGUUAAUAAUUAAAAUCAUUUUAGAAUAAUACCUUAAAAACAACCAAACAUAUAAAGUGACAUUAAUCAUUUAAAUUUAUAUUUGCUGUACUUUUAUGAUGACAUUAUAAUUUCUGUUGUUUCUGCGGCUGAUGUUGUUUGUUGUCCUGAAGGUGUACACUCUGAGUCAGAGGACGGUGGAGCUGGAGAGGGACAGGGAUCGCGUCCGAUUGGCUCUGGAGAGAACUGAGGCGGCUAUGAUUGGCUACAGGGAAAGAGCCCACCAAUGGGAGCAGAGCGUGGAGGCGGGCUCUAACACGGACGAGGUGGUGGGGGACAGACUGGAGGUUCUGCAGCGGCUUGUUGCUGAACUGGAGCUCGAACAGAAACGAAUAAUGAAGAAAAACUUGCAUCUGGAAAAUCAGAAAGAAAAACUGAAGAAGGAAAGAAAUGCACUGAGAGACACACUGAGACAGGUACACACACACACACACACACACACUGAGACAGGUACACACACACACUGAGACAGGUACACACACACACACACACACACUGAGACAGGUACACACACACACACACACACUGAGACAGGUACACACACACACACACACACACUGAGACAGGUACACACACACACACACUGAGACAGGUACACACACACACACUGAGACAGGUACAUACACACACACUGAGACAGGUACACACACACACACACACACACACACACACACUGAGACAGGUACACACACACACUGAGACAGGUAACACACACACUGAGACAGGUACACACACACACACACACACACACUGAGGACAGGUACACACACACACACACACACACACUGAGACAGGUACACACACACACAUACUGAGACAGGUACACACACACACACACUGAGACAGGUACACACACACACACACUGAGACAGGUACACACACACACACACACACACACCACAUACUGAGACAGGUACACACACACACACACACUGAGACAGGUACACACACACACACACACACACUGAGACAGGUACACACACACACACACACACAUACUGAGACAGGUACACACACACACACACACACACUGAGACAGGUACACACACAACACUGAGACAGGUACACACCACACACACACACACACACACUGAGACAGGUACACACACACACACACACACUGAGACAGGUACACACACACACUGAGACAGGUACACACACACACACACACUGAGACAGGUACACACACACACACUGAGACAGGUACACACACACACACACACACACUGAGACAGGUACACACACACACACACUGAGACAGGUACACACACACACACACUGAGACAGGUACACACACACACACACACACUGAGACAGGUACACACAACACUGAGACAGGUACACACACACACUGAGACAGGUACACACACACACUGAGACAGGUACACACAUACACACACACUGAGACAGGUACACACACACACUGAGACAGGUACACACAUACACACACACUGAGACAGGUACACACACACACUGAGACAGGUACAUACACACACUGAGACAGGUACACACACACACUGAGACAGGUACACACACACACACUGAGACAG
rnacentral:lncRNA from 1 species